UCCGUAGGUGAACCUGCGGAGGGAUCAUUACACAAUAUGAAAGCGGGCUGGCAUCCUUCGGGGUUACAGCCUUGCUGAAUUAUUCACCCGUGUCUUUUGCGUACUUCUUGUUUCCUUGGUGGGUUCGCCCACCAUAGGACAAACCAUAAACCUUUUGUAAUUGCAAUCAGCGUCAGUAAAAAAAUUAAUAAUUACAACUUUUAACAACGGAUCUCUUGGUUCUGGCAUCGAUGAAGAACGCAGCGAAAUGCGAUAAGUAGUGUGAAUUGCAGAAUUCAGUGAAUCAUCGAAUCUUUGAACGCACAUUGCGCCCUUUGGUAUUCCAAAGGGCAUGCCUGUUCGAGCGUCAUUUGUACCCUCAAGCUUUGCUUGGUGUUGGGCGUCUUGUCUCCAGUUCGCUGGAGACUCGCCUUAAAGUAAUUGGCAGCCGGCCUACUGGUUUCGGAGCGCAGCACAAGUCGCGCUCUCUUCCAGCCAAGGUCAGCAUCCACAAAGCCUUUUUUCAACUUUUGACCUCGGAUCAGGUAGGGAUACCCGCU
rnacentral:misc_RNA from 1 species